rnacentral:rRNA from 1 species
UACGGGGGGGGCAAGCGUUGUUCGGAAUUACUGGGCGUAAAGGGCUCGUAGGUGGCCAACUAAGUCAGACGUGAAAUCCCUCAGCUUAACUGGGGAACUGCGUCUGAUACUGGAUGGCUUGAGUUUGGGAGAGGGAUGCGGAAUUCCAGGUGUAGCGGUGAAAUGCGUAGAUAUCAGGAGGAACACCGAUGGCGAAGGCAGGUCUCUGGGCUGACACUGACGCUCAUGCACGAAAGCGUGGGGAGCAAGCAGG